rnacentral:lncRNA from 1 species
CUUCUAUCUUUGCAGGAAGGCAGGGAUUUCAACCUGGGCAACAAGUCCACAGAACAUGAGAUUUCUGAAGGCUCGUAUACUACUUCUUGUAAUUUUUCCUUGCUUUUUCUACUUCCAGGUGUGUGGGAUACAUCAUGGUUACAUAAAAAUCCUUUCACUAUAGUUCCUGCUUCCCUAUCUUCAAAAUGAUUCCCUGAAGACUUCCGCCAUGACGGUCUAAAGCCUAACCUCUGAACUGUGGAUGGAAAAUUGAACUCCUUGAUGUGAUCUCUGCACAUCAUGCAACCCUAAACCUAAAUAUAUUCUCUGUGUGGGAGCCCCAUUAUUUUUAGUCUAAUACAUUUUAAGUCAUCUUAAAAAAUUAUAUUUUGUUUUCUUUUAUAUGGUCGAUUUUACCUUGUUUUCUUUGACUAUUACUUGUUGUCUUGUAUGAGAUUCUACUGGUCUCAAGGCUUAAACCUCACAAUCUUCAGGGUCUGAUGGAUUUCUCUCUAUUUUCUAAGUUCCCUGGGAUAUGUUUGAUGAGUUUUUGUGGCAGAGAAGCAGAGAAAGGAGAAAGGUGAUGUCUAUACUACUUCCUUUUUCUCCCCAGCCACAAAUGCCAGAGUCUAUAAAGAGACCCUGAGAAGCAAGCUCUGUGCAGAGUCACUUCUAAGAAAUACCAGGAUAAAAUGUAGGUGAGAGACAUUUGUGUGAAAAAAGGGAUGAGAGAGAGGAGGAAGGAUUGAGAAAAUUUUCAAGGCAGAAAGGGACCUAUAUCUUCUAAUUUGGCAAAAUGGGAGAGGUAGGUAGGAGAUGGGAAUGCUCUCUUAUCUAUCUCGCCUUUUGGAUGGAGAUUAAUAACACAACCCAGGAGAAAGUGAUCCUUAGGAAGCCCAAAUGACUGAAAACAGCCCUCGAGUAUACCAAUUGGACAAGUUGGGGUGAAGGAGACCUAGUUAUUGUAAUACAUAGGUAGAGAUUGUGGUUGUGAGACUGUUGGGUGAUUAACUCAUAGAUGUUCCAAAGUCAUCUGUCAGCUAAAAUAGCUGUCAUUAGGAAUGCUUGAAAGGUUUCAAAGAAUACUUCAGUAGCAAUGAG